rnacentral:rRNA from 1 species
GGCGUGCCUAACACAUGCAAGUCGAACGAAUCAUUUACACGGAUUUCCUUCGGGGAUGAAGGGUUUAUGACUGAGUGGCGGACGGGUGAGUAACGCGUGGGCAACCUGCCCCGUACCGGGGGACAACAGCCGGAAACGGCUGCUAAUACCGUAUACGUUUUAAGGACCGCAUGGUCCGUAAAACAAAACUCCGGUGGUACGGGAUGGGCCCGCGUCUGAUUAGCUCGUUGGCGGGGUAACGGCCCACCAAGGCGACGAUCAGUAGCCGGCCUGAGAGGGCGGCCGGCCACAUUGGGACUGAGACACGGCCCAGACUCCUGCGGGAGGCAGCAGUGGGGAAUAUUGCACAAUGGGGGAAACCCUGAUGCAGCGACGCCGCGUGAGCGAGGAAGUACCUCGGUAUGUAAAGCUCUGUCAGCAGGGAAGAAAAUGACAGUACCUGACCAAGAAGCCCCGGCUAACUACGUGCCAGCAGCCGCGGUAAUACGUAGGGGGCAAGCGUUAUCCGGAUUCACUGGGCGUAAAGGGAGCGCAGGCGGCACGGCAAGUCUGAUGUGAAAACCCGGGGCUCAACCCCGGGACUGCAUUGGAAACUGCCGGGCUGGAGUGUCGGAGGGGCAGGCGGAAUUCCUGGUGUAGCGGUGAAAUGCGUAGAUAUCAGGAGGAACACCGGUGGCGAAGGCGGCCUGCUGGACGACAACUGACGCUGAGGCUCGAAAGCGUGGGGAGCAAACAAGAUUAGAUACCCUGGUAGUCCACGCCGUAA